rnacentral:tRNA from 1 species
ACUAUUUUGGCAGAUUAGUGCAAUAAAUUUAGAAUUUAUGAAUGUAAUUUUUAUUMCAAGUAGUA